UAGCUGCGCAAGCCGCAUCACACCACAGUUGGUUUCUGUGAAUGUCUCAUGGGUUCAUUUCCUCUCUCGUUCGAAGAAACCAGGCGUUAUAUCAAGACGGCAUGCCAGUAAGCCGUUGGAGACGAGCCUGCGAUGCUGUUAUUCAUCGACUCAUCAAGUAGGAAUGCGUCAACGUGUCCUACUCGCUUCAUCCGUAGGAGAAGACAGCCGGCAGCCAUCCUCCCGCACUUGUAUUCACAUGAAACACUCCGACGUCGGGUCCCACGCGGCCGCCGCCUUCCCUGGCACCUCCAUGUCCGACGUGUCUGGGCAAGGAUGACGCCAGGAGUUCGGUGAGAUGCAGGUGUCGGGAGGAUUGGCAUAUGCGUGAAGGUUUGGAAAAACAACAAUGCGAUCCCGUUUCACUCCGGGGGAGAAUUCCCACGCGGUUCGUUCCAUGACUUUUUGCCCAGAAAAUACGACGGAAGCUCCGAUGUGACGACGCGGGAAAGCAAAGGUCACGUGCGCAUGUUGGGAAUUUCCAGUUCGGCACCACUCACUUUUUUAUUGUUAAUAUUUCUCUGUAUUUCAAGAUUAUGUAUGAAGUGCAUGUAUCGUAUUUAGCACAUUUUUUGUCUGACUUCUAGGUAAGUGUGAGAGUGGGAUUUAAAAUAGACAAACAAUUAGAGUUUUAGGGGCCCGCAAAAAGAAAAGAAAUGCAACUUUACGAUG